rnacentral:ncRNA from 1 species
AUCAGAAAAAGGCUAACCUAUUGAAAAAUAGGGUCGCAAAGUUACAGACCUAAGGUUUAACACUAUGGUGGCUGGACUACCGGA